AUAUUGCACAAUGGGGGAAACCCUGAUGCAGCGACGCCGCGUGAGUGAAGAAGAAUUUCGGUAUGUAAAGCUCUAUCAGCAGGGAAGAAAGAAAUGACGGUACCUGACCAAGAAGCCCCGGCUAACUACGUGCCAGCAGCCGCGGUAAUACGUAGGGGGCAAGCGUUAUCCGGAAUCACUGGGUGUAAAGGGAGCGUAGACGGUGAUGCAAGUCUGGAGUGAAAGGCGGGGGCCCAACCCCCGGACUGCUCUGGAAACUAUCAGACUGGAGUGCAGGAGAGGCAGGCGGAAUUCCUGGUGUAGCGGUGAAAUGCGUAGAUAUCAGGAGGAACAUCGGUGGCGAAGGCGGCCUGCUGGACUGUAACUGACGUUGAGGCUCGAAAGCGUGGGGAGCAAA
rnacentral:rRNA from 1 species